rnacentral:rRNA from 1 species
UACGAAGGGGGCUAGCGUUGCUCGGAAUCACUGGGCGUAAAGCGUGCGCAGGCGGCUUCUCAAGUCAGGGGUGAAAGCCCAGAGCUCAACUCUGGAAUUGCCUUUGAGACUGAGUGGCUUGAGUACGAGAGAGGUGAGUGGAAUUCCCAGUGUAGAGGUGAAAUUCGUAGAUAUUGGGAAGAACACCGGUGGCGAAGGCGGCUCACUGGCUCGUAACUGACGCUCAUGCACGACAGCGUGGGGAUCAAACAGG